UACCUAGACUAGGUGACCUUGCAGGGCCCUAUAUAACGCUAGGCUCUUCCGUGGAUCAGCAUAGUUGCACUCAGAAGGCUUAGAGCAGUUCUAGUGAGAUCUACAACCAACCAAUCGCCAAUAUGAAAUUCACCAUGUUCGUCCUCCUCUGCUGUGUGGUGGCGUUCGCCUCGGCCGCACCCCAGUUCUUCUACGGCGGAUGGGGAGGUCUGGCUCCCGUCUCCAGGACCGUGGUGGCCGGCCCUACCGUGGUCAACGGUGCCACUGGUGUGCCCGGCCUCAUCGCCCCAGGAUACAUCGGCACCACCUUCAUCUAAACACCCCACCACCAUACAAUCGCCAUACAAUCCGCUCAACAUUGGACUCAGAUCAAAUUCCUGUAAAUAUACAUUUAUAGUUUAUUUUUCAUCAUACUAUGUCUCGUGUAUAAAUAUAAAAUUAUGACACA